UACGUAGGGUGCAAGCGUUAAUCGGAAUUACUGGGCGUAAAGCGUGCGCAGGCGGUGAUGUAAGACAGAUGUGAAAUCCCCGGGCUCAACCUGGGAACUGCAUUCGAGACUGCAUUGCUAGAGUAUGGGAGAGGGAAGUGGAAUUCUGGGUGUAGAGGUGAAAUUCGUAGAUAUCCAGAGGAACACCGGUGGCGAAGGCGGCCGCCUGGACGAGCACUGACGCUGAGACGCGAAAGCGUGGGGAGCAAACAGG
rnacentral:rRNA from 1 species